rnacentral:rRNA from 1 species
UACGGAGGGGGCUAGCGUUGUUCGGAAUUACUGGGCGUAAAGCGCACGUAGGCGGCUUUGUAAGUUAGAGGUGAAAGCCCGGGGCUCAACUCCGGAAUUGCCUUUAAGACUGCAUCGCUAGAAUUGUGGAGAGGUAAGUGGAAUUCCGAGUGUAGAGGUGAAAUUCGUAGAUAUUCGGAAGAACACCAGUGGCGAAGGCGAAUCUCUGGACAGUUACUGACACUGAGGCACGAAGGCCAAGGGGAGCAAACGGG